CGGCGGCGGCGGCAACCCCCGUCCCCUUCUCCGGCCUUCUCUCGUGCCCAGGUCCCGGCGAAAGGACCCCCGCAGAGCCCCUACCGGAGCGCCCCAACGGCACUCGGGGCAGGAGGCGGAGAGGAGUGUAGCCCGGGAGGGGUUCCGGGUCGUCUUUGCGACAGCAGGGCGGACUAGGGAGCGGCGGCGAUUUGGUCACUUUGGAAACAGCCCCUGAAACCCAAGACCAAGAAGAGCCAUACUUCAUGACAGCUGCCAUCUGGGAGGAAUCCUAUGAUAUUUGUGAUUCAAGAAAUUGAACCCAAAAUUUCAACAGCUGAUAUGCAGAUGCAAAAGACUGCUGUUUUCCUGAGAUAAGAAAUACUCCAAACCUAACAUUCUGAAGGAGUUCAGAAUACACACCCAGGACUGCCAUACCCCCCAAAGCGCUACCUCCUGGCAGAUUGUCUCUAUGGUAAACCCUGUCACACUAGAAAUGUUAGGAAGCAGAACCCAAACUACAGCACAAGCACCUGUAAGGAAAAGGUACCUCUGUUCAUGAGAUAGAACCCUUUCUGUUCCCUUCAGCCCCUGCAGCUGUUCUCAUGCUUUCAGGGCACUUGAUUGGUUCAUUCCUAGAUAAAACUUAUGUCUUUAUUUUCAAAGCUAUUACCCAUCUCUAGUCAGAGUUUCCUACAUUCCUGUAUACAAAUAAGUGGAUAGAGAGAGGGUUUCUUUCCAAAUGAAUUCAGAGAUAAAUUCCUUUUCUUUGCCAAUACCUAUAAAAAUGAAAACCUUGACAGAUUUUAGUAUUCUACACCCAUCCCUCCCUGUGAAAUUUAUGGCAGUUUUGGGUCCCUCUGGGAGACGACAUCCAGCAUGUCAUGCUGGACUGUUCUAGAGAGUAAUUUUCAAAUGUAAGCUUAGCAAAGUUUGAAUUGACUUGUCCAGAGAUAAAAAAUACAAGUGAACACCUACACCUGCCUACAAAGAGCUAACAAGCCCCUGGCAGCUGCCAGCAUCAAAGCACAGCGGAUGUUUCUAAUACAGGGUAAGGAUAACAAUAUCACCUUCUGUUCUCUCCAGCUUCUUUUCCCUGCAGUCAUAUUUUGCUUCUUAUGAUUUUUUUAGUCUCUGUAUCUUCUUGGACAGCACCGAGCCCGACGACAAGGAUACGAGAGUCUUUCCCUGCCGGACAGAGAGAACCAGGAAAACAGUUAAAAAAAGAACAGGGCAGUUUGAAAUUCAUACUUGCAACGAGAAGCAGCGCCUAACCAACAGAACAAAAGUAAACCAAGCAUGAUACCUCCCUGGGGACAGAAGACUUAUAAACUCUCCAGGAUUCACAAUUCUAGCGACCAACCCCUUCAGGACAGCAGCCAAGUGUCCCAUGGGGUGGUGCUGCACCAAAGAACCAUCUGAGAGUGCCCAAAGAGUGAAAUGCACAGUAUUUUGCAAAGACAAAAAAUCCUGCAAAAUAACAAAAAUACAAUAGAUGUAAACUACAGGGCAAGAGUACAAGUGUUACCUUUGGCAGCUGGAACCAUCCAGGUGAGCACCUGAUAACUGGAUCCUCGCCAUGGUUUGAACCCUUCAGGACACAGAAGGGUUUUCCCCAGAAAUUUCACAGACUGAGUUUUGACAGAAGCACGCUCGCCGGAUCCUCAGAAAGGUCGCCCAUUCUCCAGGCGUCUGGAGAGAACUGCAAAUGGCUCUCACGUAGUUGGAGCUGGUUCUGUAAGGUCUCAGGGUGAAUUUCACCAGAUGGAACUGAAUUGGGCAACUCCCAGUGAGACAGAAGGAACCCAAAGCUUGUUUUACCCAAACCUUGGGUAAGCACAGCUCCAGCAAAUACUGAGGAAACAGACAUAACAGGGUAAAAAUAAUAAAACUAUUGCUUUUUCUUUAAUCUUGCCUUUUUUUUUUUUCAUUCAGAUGAGCAAAACUAUGGAAGAGAAGGUGAAAAACUCACUAUUACUGAACAUUUCAUCAUCUGUAAGCUGAGCAUCCUUAGCAUAGAGGACUCCAGAGUUAAAAUUCACUGAUCCCUGGGAAAUAAAACCAAAUAUAUGACAAACAGUCAAACAGAAGGCGUAAAAAUUUGUUUCCUCUACGGACUUUCAAGUACGUAUCUUUGUAUAUAUCCUACACAUUACAACAUACACUUUAUACCAUCUCCUAAUAUAUAAUAAUUUACCUUUAAACUUUGACAGUAUAGUGUGGAGAAAUGGCUCCAUGACAGAGGUCACGCAGACAUUCGCUCGUUAGCCGACCAGGAGCUGGGAAAGUACCGAACACAGGUAUUUUUGAGUUUUGCACCUGCAAGAUAGCGUGUGCCUGGGCCUAGCUGGGUAGGAUAACAAGUAGACAGAGAGACGUGGGAAAUAGGGAAUGUAGGCCCAAAGGAAUGAGGAAGAGUUGAUGGUAUAGUUUAACCAAUAGAUCGCUUGGCUUACAGAAUAUUCAUAAGCUUAUUAUGUGCUAUAUAAGUGUCUGAUACUCUCUGCAAUAAACAUAGCUUGCUGAUCUCA